rnacentral:rRNA from 1 species
GACGAACGCUGGCGGCGCGCUUAACACAUGCAAGUCGAACGGAAAGGCCUGCUUUCCCUUGUGGAUUGCGGGUACUCGAGUGGCGAACGGGUGAGUAACACGUGAGUGAUCUGCCCCCAACUUGGGUAUAAGCCUGGGAAACUGGGUCUAAUUCCCGAUAGGACUGCAGGGUGGUGCCUGUGGUGGAAAACGAUUUUCUAGUGGUUGGGGAUGAGCUCGCGGCCUAUCAGCUUGUUGGUGGGGUAAUGGCCUACCAAGGCGGCGACGGGUAGCCGGCCUGGGGGGGUGGACGGCCACAUUGGGACUGAGAUACGGCCCAGACGCCUACGGGAGGCAGCAGUGGGGAAUAUUGCACAAUGGGCGGAAGCCUGAUGCAGCGACGCCGCGUGGGGGAUGACGGCCUUCGGGUUGUAAACUCCUUUCGACCGCGAGGAAGCCACCUGGUUGGAAGGGUGGUGACGGUAGUGGUAGAAGAAGCACCGGCUAACUACGUG